rnacentral:rRNA from 1 species
GAGCAUACCGCGUGAGGGAGGAAGGCUCUUGGGUUGUAAACCUCAAAACUUAGGGAAGAAGAAAGUGACGGUACCUAAUCUAAGCAUCGGCUAACUCCGUGCCAGCAGCCGCGGUAAUACGGAGGAUGCAAGCGUUAUCCGGAAUCAUUGGGCGUAAAGAGUCCGUAGGUGGCAAUUCAAGUCUGCUGUCAAAGACCGAAGCUCAACUUCGGGCCGGCGGUGGAAACUGAAGAGCUAGAGUAUAGUAGGGGUAGAGGGAAUUCCUAGUGUAGCGGUGAAAUGCGUAGAGAUUAGGAAGAACACCAGUGGCGAAGGCGCUCUACUGGGCAUACACUGACACUGAGGGACGAAAGCUAGGGUAGCGAAAGGGAUUAGAUACCCCUGUAGUCCUAGCGGUAAACGAUGGAUACUAGGUGUUGUCUGUAUCGACCCAGACAGUGCCGAAGCAAACGCGUUAAGUAUCCCGCCUGGGGAGUACGCACGCAAGUGUGAAACUCAAAGGAAUUGACGGGGACCCGCACAAGCGGUGGAGUAUGUGGUUUAAUUCGAUGCAACGCGAAGAACCUUACCAAGGCUUGACAUCCUGCGAAUUUUGGGGAAACUCAAAAGUGCCUUCGGGAACGCAGAGACAGGUGGUGCAUGGCUGUCGUCAGCUCGUGUCGUGAGAUGUUGGGUUAAGUCCCGCAACGAGCGCAACCCUCGUCCUUAGUUGCCAGCAUUCAGUUGGGGACUCUAGGGAGACCGCCGGGGAGAACUCGGAGGAAGGUGGGGAUGACGUCAAGUCAGCAUGCCCCUUACGUCUUGGGCUACACACGUACUACAAUGGUUGAGACAAAGGGAAGCGAAGCCGCGAGGUGAAGCGAAUCCCAGCAAACUCAGCCCCAGUUCAGAUUGCAGGCUGAAACUCGCCUGCAUGAAGGAGGAAUCGCUAGUAAUCGCAGGUCAGCAUACUGCGGUGAAUCCGUUCCCGGGUCUUGUACACACCGCCCGUCACACCAUGGAAGUUGGUCAUGCCCGAAGUCGUUACUCCAACUGUUUACAGAGGAGGAUGCCGAAGGUGGGACUAGUGACUGGGGUGAAGUCGUAACAAGGUAGCCGUACCGGAAGGUG